UGGGGAAUCUUGGACAAUGGGGGCAACCCUGAUCCAGCCAUGCCGCGUGAGUGAUGAAGGCCUUAGGGUCGUAAAGCUCUUUCGCCUGUGAAGAUAAUGACGGUAGCAGGUAAAGAAACCCCGGCUAACUCCGUGCCAGCAGCCGCGGUAAUACGGAGGGGGUUAGCGUUGUUCGGAAUUACUGGGCGUAAAGCGCACGUAGGCGGACCAGAAAGUUGGGGGUGAAAUCCCGGGGGCUCAACCCCGGAACUGCCUCCAAAACUAUUGGUCUAGAGUUCGAGAGAGGUGAGUGGAAUUCCAAGUGUAGAGGUGAAAUUCGUAGAUAUUUGGAGGAACACCAGUGGCGAAGGCGGCUCACUGGCUCGAUACUGACGCUGAGGUGCGAAAGUGUGGGGAGCAAACAGGAUUAGAUACCCUGGUAGUCCACACCGUAAAACGAUGAAUGCCAGUCGUC
rnacentral:rRNA from 1 species